UACGGAGGAUCCAAGCGUUAUCCGGAAUCAUUGGGUUUAAAGGGUCCGUAGGCGGCCUUAUAAGUCAGCGGUGAAAGUUUUUGGCUUAACCAAAAAAUUGCCAUUGAUACUGUAGGGCUUGAAUUAUUGUGAAGUAACUAGAAUAUGUAGUGUAGCGGUGAAAUGCUUAGAUAUUACAUGGAAUACCAAUUGCGAAGGCAGGUUACUAACAAUAUAUUGACGCUGAUGGACGAAAGCGUGGGUAGCGAAC
rnacentral:rRNA from 2 species